CUUCUCGUGGGCAAAGGAGCCUUGCUCGCGGAGCAAGAUAUUAUUAGGAUUCGCAGUGAAGCGUCCUCCUUGACGUCAGGUCCACCUGCUAUGUAAACAAACCAUUAGAGAAGUUGUUUGCUCUCCUCCCCCUCCGCUAUCCACCACAACCAGUUUAGCAGAAAACAAAGCCUCGUGUUAAAUUAGCAGGGCCGAACUGAGCCUGCAGCUUUUGAGGCAGUACUCGAACAAGGAGUGGAGGGCUUAAGCGAAGGGGAAACUUCUCAGGAGGAGGGCCGGAAGGGCUACAAGGGCCCUUUUAGAUAAAAUGCUUUGAAGCGGUGGGGUAGGGCUGGAAAUCUCCUCAGGAGACUUGGGACGUCCUUUUAGGAGUUUGGUCAAAGCGCGCGCAUUUCAGGCAAACUCACUCGGAGCAUGGCGCCUUUGUAUUCCAAUAAAACCCAGGAGCCCAACUCUCUGACCUCCGUUAUAAACACACCCCACAGUGCGGAACGCGAAAGGCAGCUGGUGGCCCCCCACACGUGCUAAACUAAACCUCAUCCAAGCUCCUACAUAAAGAAAAGUGUGGUACAUUCCGCGCGAACAAGUCGCCCGCUGCGUUCUCCUAAUGGAUGGGGGAAAGAAUAGGAGAUCCGUAUAAGUGGGUCUGAAGCCUGACUAAACCGUCCUAACUUGGAAAUCCUUUCAGCGCAAGCCUCUUCGUGCUUAUUCGAAAGUAAAUCCCACUCACUGGGGUUUACUUUCAGGCAAGUGUGCAUAGAAUUGCAAUCUCAAUCCUAGAGAAUAUAAUAGGCUGCUUUUAAACAGUGAACGAUGAAGGGAGGAACACUGCACAUGCUCGGAGAUUGAAGACGGAAGCACAUUAGCUUAGAUCUUCCCUGAGAAAGCGGUGAAGAAGAAAAAGGUCAGGAACCACUCGCUCACACUUUGAUAAACUUUCAUGUCUGUGAAUGCAAUUGCUCCCCUGGCUGAGAAGUGCAGAAAGGUGCGGAGAUUUGCAACGUGCCUGUGUUGGUAGGACAAUUGUUUAAUAUGCGUCCUGGAAAGCAGCCAUUUCCCAACAGAGUUUUUACAACCACAUAUUAAUAUCGCACCGUUCUUGGGGUAUACUUGGAGACGUAUAGGCAAGCAGAUCAGACCACUCCUCCCAGUCUGAGAGGAAAGAGAGCGGGGUGGGGGGACUAGAGGGGUAGACGCCAGGUUUUGAUGGCAGCCGAGGGCUCUUCUGCUCAGAUUCCUAACUCUCGGCCAAUAGGGUUUCACCGGGUUCGAGAGGUGAAAGUUCAGCCCAAGGGCACGCACACUCGAGGCUAUUGACUGCCGCAGGCUCAGAGUGCUUGUUGAUGGGUGGUCGUAAAACAUCUUCAUUUGCCUCUCGCAACUCUUUUUGUCUUACCUCCGCCUCUUUUAAUUGCCUGAGUUGCUCAUAAACCCUGAUGGCCCGUAAUCACUACGAUUCUGAAUACAUGUUACUCCGAAAAAAGGCCCGCUGAUUAAUGGGGCUUACUUCUCUAAGUACAAGUGUGUUUGGGACCGCAGGCUAUUUCUCUUUGGCUUCUGGGGAAAGAAAUUCAAGUCAAUCUUACACCUUGUUCCUAAAUGCAUUUAUUUGGAGUGAUUUACUUAUUACUUCCUUGGACUGAGGGCGUUAGUUAGGCUGCGGGCGGUUCUAAGUAUACGUUUGGAAUUACUUGAAAUCGCGGAGGCUUUUGCUGUUAGAGAAAUUUCUUUGGGAUCAGGCCGGGCGACCAGACAAGUUCCUCGAAGUUGAGGCAAUAAAGUUUAUCUACAAAGUGGGCUCCAGACUUCAAGACGGAUCUGCCGGUGAGAUGAACGGAGAACGAAUACUCUAGUUCUGGGCAGAUCUUAAGUGUCUCUAAACAACUCCCGCGAACCUUCAAACGAAAUAACGCACAGUGUAGGAAAGCACUCAGCUCGCUCGCAACUUGCAGCCCUUGGGCUCAGGUACUGCUCUCCCUCCUCUUCCCAAACCGCUCGGCCGGAGCCAUGUUGUUUGAUCCCAAAGGUCUUGCUCAUCCCUCAAGGCAUGUUUAAUAUCAGGGAUCACCCACUUUUCCUUUCGCCAGAGGAAAGGAAUAAGGGAAGCCUCGAACCAGACAAAACCUGUAGCCCCGAUACGGGUCAAGUUCGUCUGACGACGACAGAUCGCUUUUCCGCAACGUCACAUCCCGGACAAGAAAACCCAGGAGAAAAGUGGUAUCCCGUGACAUAACAAGAACGGAUGAGCUCAGACCGAACAAUCCCUUUGUUUUAAUAGCCGUCCCAGAUCUCUCCCCUUUGGAUAGGUGUGAGGGAGUGCUUCGGUUUGCGUGAGUUUAACUCGGCGUCUCGACUGCCUUUGUUUAAAAGAGGUUUCAGGUCCUUCGAGUCCCCGCGGAUAACGCUUUGUGUUUACACCUGGCUGGCGCUCUCUGCCUCUGAAAAGGGAUCAGGCUGUUGAUUCACAGAACACUUCCUUUGGAGUUACUUUCCUGGAAAUCAGUGGCAACUUGCUUCCAACUUAACCUGUUAAAAACCUCCUUGUGUUAUGUAUUGCAAAGACCAAAACAUACUUCGAGAUAAACAUGUUCUUGCUUCUUUUGUUCCCUUUUCUUAAAAAGCAAGGUGGUUACUAACGAUUAAUAAACUCCUCCACACUCUCUUUUUAAAUAAAAAAAAUGUUUUCCCCCCA